CUCGCCUACAUGAAGUCGGAAUUGCUAGUAAUCNCGGAUCAGCAUGCCGCGGUGAAUACGUUCCCGGGCCUUGUACACACCGCCCGUCACACCAUGAGAGCCGGUAACACCCGAAGUCAGUAGCCUAACCGCAAGGGGGCGCUGCCGAAGGUGGGAUUGGUAAUUGGGUGAAGUCGUAACAAGGUAUC
rnacentral:rRNA from 1 species